rnacentral:rRNA from 1 species
AUGGAGCUAGACGGCUUCCCACUUGACCAUGAGUUUCCGGAUGACUACGGGCAAGAGGAAGAAGACGAGUGCGACAUCGAAGUGGAGCCUUUGUUUGAGAACGAGCUCGCCAACCAAGCCGCCGGGCCAAAGCCGAAGCGCAAGAGCAAGCGCACGAAGGCAUACACGGCGGCCGAGGAAAAGCUUCUUUGCGAGUGUUGGAGGGACAUUGGACAAAACCCCAAGACCGGCGACGAACAAAAGCAUUUAACUUUUUGGAUUCAUGUCCAUUGGGAGUUUCAUGAGUGCAAGAAGUUUCCUCCUUACCAAACUGUGAGCAUGCAUGGGUGGGUUUCCAUUUCAAAGCGAUGGAGAGUGAUCCAACAAGAGUGCAACAAGUUUUGUGCCACUCUUGAGAGCGUCAAGGCCCGCCCCGUGAGCGGCAUCGGCAUGCAAGACAUGGUAUGGUAG